UUGGCCGGGCGACGGUUGUCCCGGUUUAAGCGUGUAGGCUGGUUUUCCAGGCAAAUCCGGAAAACCAAGGCUGAGGCGUGAUGACGAGGCACUACGGUGCUGAAGCGACAAAUGCCCUGCUUCCAGGAAAAGCCUCUAAGCAUCAGGUAACAUCAAAUCGUACCCCAAACCGACACAGGUGGUCAGGUAGAGAAUACCAAGGCGCUUGAGAGAACUCGGGUGAAGGAACUAGGCAAAAUGGUGCCGUAACUUCGGGAGAAGGCACGCUGAUAUGUAGGUGAAGCGACUUGCUCGUGGAGCUGAAAUCAGUCGAAGAUACCAGCUGGCUGCAACUGUUUAUUAAAAACACAGCACUGUGCAAACACGAAAGUGGACGUAUACGGUGUGACGCCUGCCCGGUGCCGGAAGGUUAAUUGAUGGGGUUAGCGGCAACGCGAAGCUCUUGAUCGAAGCCCCGGUAAACGGCGGCCGUAACUAUAACGGUCCUAAGGUAGCGAAAUUCCUUGUCGGGUAAGUUCCGACCUGCACGAAUGGCGUAAUGAUGGCCAGGCUGUCUCCACCCGAGACUCAGUGAAAUUGAACUCGCUGUGAAGAUGCAGUGUACCCGCGGCAAGACGGAAAGACCCCGUGAACCUUUACUAUAGCUUGACACUGAACAUUGAGCCUUGAUGUGUAGGAUAGGUGGGAGGCUUUGAAGUGUGGACGCCAGUCUGCAUGGAGCCGACCUUGAAAUACCACCCUUUAAUGUUUGAUGUUCUAACGUUGGCCCCUAAUCGGGGUUGCGGACAGUGUCUGGUGGGUAGUUUGACUGGGGCGGUCUCCUCCUAAAGAGUAACGGAGGAGCACGAAGGUUGGCUAAUCCUGGUCGGACAUCAGGAGGUUAGUGCAAUGGCAUAAGCCAGCUUGACUGCGAGCGUGACGGCGCGAGCAGGUGCGAAAGCAGGUCAUAGUGAUCCGGUGGUUCUGAAUGGAAGGGCCAUCGCUCAACGGAUAAAAGGUACUCCGGGGAUAACAGGCUGAUACCGCCCAAGAGUUCAUAUCGACGGCGGUGUUUGGCACCUCGAUGUCGGCUCAUCACAUCCUGGGGCUGAAGUAGGUCCCAAGGGUAUGGCUGUUCGCCAUUUAAAGUGGUACGCGAGCUGGGUUUAGAACGUCGUGAGACAGUUCGGUCCCUAUCUGCCGUGGGCGCUGGAGAACUGAGGGGGGCUGCUCCUAGUACGAGAGGACCGGAGUGGACGCAUCACUGGUGUUCGGGUUGUCAUGCCAAUGGCACUGCCCGGUAGCUAAAUGCGGAAGAGAUAAGUGCUGAAAGCAUCUAAGCACGAAACUUGCCCCGAGAUG
rnacentral:rRNA from 1 species